AAGUCGUAACAAGGUUUCCGUAGGUGAACCUGCGGAAGGAUCAUUAGAAUGCAAUAGUCGCACAGAUCGAGAGAUCGGGCUGCGGCCGUGGCCCUCCCUCUCGGGGGAGGGCGCCUUCUAAACCAUGUGAAAACACCCGUUGCUUCGGCGGCUGCCAGGCGGCCUCCCGCCGCCCAGGCGUCAGCCCGCCCGUAGCUCCAACAAAACCAUUUCUGUAAACUUCUGUCAGAAUACGAAAAUUAAAUCGUUAAA
rnacentral:misc_RNA from 1 species